rnacentral:tRNA from 1 species
GGGAAUGUAGUUAAAAAUAACUUUUAAUUUGCAAUUAAAAAUUACUCAAAAUAUGAGUCUUUCUCA